GAUGAAGAACGCAGCGAAAUGCGAUAAGUAAUGUGAAUUGCAGAAUUCAGUGAAUCAUCGAAUCUUUGAACGCACAUUGCGCCCCCCAGUAUUCUGGCGGGCAUGCCUGUUCGAGCGUCAUUUCAACCAUCAAGCCCCAGGCUUGUGUUGGAGCCCUGCGGCUGCCGCAGCCUCCCAAAACCAGUGGCGGGCUCGCUAUCACACCGAGUGCAGUAGUUUACUCUUCGCUCAGGGCGUGUGGCGGGUGCUAGCCGUAAAACCCCCAACUUCUCAAGGUUGACCUCGGAUCAGGUAGGAAUACCCGCUGAACUUAAGCAUAUCAAUAAGCGGAGGA
rnacentral:misc_RNA from 1 species